GGUGCAGAAGGAGUUAAGAAGCCAGCCAACAAGAGGGACAUGGAUGGACAGAUCGAAGAAGAAAGCCUCUGGAGACAAACAUCCAGAAUACAGGUUACCAUGAUGAUAAAAAGAAAUCCCUCCAAUAUAGUGGACCCUCAUCUCAUGCUGGCCGACCCACGGACGGUGCUCAGAAAGGACCUCAGAACCACUCAAGCGGCCUGGAGACUAAUACUUGCUUUCCAUUUCUGUGGGAAGC